AUAUGGUACAUUCAGGUCUAU
rnacentral:siRNA from 1 species